CCUACGGGACGCAGCAGUGAGGAAUAUUGGUCAAUGGGCGGGAGCCUGAACCAGCCAAGUCGCGUGAGGGAAGACGGCCCUAUGGAUUGUAAACCUCUUUAGGCGGGGAGCAAUGCCGGGCACGCGUGCCCGGCGGGAGAGUACCCGCAGAAAAAGCAUCGGCUAACUCCGUGCCAGCAGCCGCGGUAAUACGGAGGAUGCGAGCGUUAUCCGGAUUUAUUGGGUUUAAAGGGUGCGUAGGCGGGUUUUUAAGUCAGCGGUAAAAAUUCGGGGCUCAACCCGGUCCGGCCGUUGAAACUGGGGGC
rnacentral:rRNA from 1 species